rnacentral:rRNA from 1 species
AAUGAACGCUGGCGGCAGGCCUAACACAUGCAAGUCGAGCGGAGCGGCGGACGGGUGAGUAAUGCCUAGGAAUCUGCCUGGUAGUGGGGGAUAACGUCCGGAAACGGGCGCUAAUACCGCAUACUAUCAGAUGAGCCUAGGUCGAAUUAGUGAGUUGGUGGCGUAAAGGCCUACCAAGGCGACGAUCCGUAACUGGUCUGAGCGGGGGAUCAGUCACACUGGGACUGAGACGCGGUCCAGACUCCUACGGGAGGCAACAGUGGGGAAUAUUGGACAAUGGGCGAAGGCCUGUUCCAGCCAUGCCGCGUGUGUGAAGAGGGUCUUCGGAUUGUAAAGCACUUUAAAUUGGGGGGCGUUACCAUCAGAAUAAACACCGGCUAACUUCGUGCCAGCAGCCGCGGUAAUUC